AUUGAACGCUGGCGGCAGGCCUAACACAUGCAAGUCGAACGCGUGGCGGGCGGGUGAGUAAUGUCUGGGAAACUGCCCGAUGGAGGGGGAUAACUACUGGAGACGGUAGCUAUUACAGCGCACCAUCGCAUGUGCCCCGAUGGGAUUAGCUUGUGGGUGAGGUAACGGCUCACCUAGGCGACGAUCCCUAGCUGGUCUGAGAGGAUGACAAGCCACACUGGAACGGAGACACGGUCCAGACUCCUACGGGAGGCAGCAGGGGGGAAUAUUGCACAAUGGGCGCAAGCCUGAUGCAGCCAUGCCGCGUGUAUGAAGAAGGCCUUCGGGUUGUAAAGUACUUUCAGCGGGGAGGCGUUACCCGCAGAAGAAGCACCGGCUAACUCCGUGCCAGCAGCCGCGGUAAUUC
rnacentral:rRNA from 1 species